rnacentral:lncRNA from 1 species
GAAGUCCUUGAUCAACUUGGAGUUUAGCUUUAUACAAGGAGAUUUAGAAAUGGGUCAAUUUGCAUUCAUGUGCAUGCAUAUUGCUAGUUAGACCAGCACCAUUUACUAAAGAAAUUUUCUUUUUUCACUGUAUGUUUUUGGCUUCUUCGUCAAAGAUCAAGUGUCCAUAGUGUGCGGGUUUAUUUCUGGGUUUUCAAUUCUAUUCCAUUGAUCUAAUGGUCUGUCUCUGUACCAAUAGUUGUUUGUUAUUUUUUUUUUAAAUCAUUAUUGCUCUGAGUAUUGAAGUCAGAAUUUUUUUGUAACAAACAAAUAAAAUCCUCAAAGAUUUUAUAUUCCUCUUUGAAAAUGAUCUGCACUGAAUUAUUUUAUAUUAAGUGGUUUCAUAUUUUCAGAUGGCUGGUCUUAAUUUUUCCAUUAUGAUGUGAUUUCCCAACAAUGAAUUUUUUAUUUCCUCAGUGCUUACUUCUUUAUCAAGAAAGAAAAAAAAACAAUGCAAAUUCUAAAUCUCUUAUGUUCAUAGAAAAUGCUUUGAGAUCAUUGUAUCUAUGAAAAAAGAAUUAAUGUAUAAAAACAAAACAUAAGCAUAUUCAAUCAUAAGAACAGAAAUUUUAUUAACUGGCUAAAGUCUAAAAUAUUUACUUUUAACUUGAUUUCAUUGACAAAAUAGGCAUUCUUUAUGAGCCAGAAAAGAACUGUUUCAGAAUUUCUUAGUUGACAGUUUUCCUUGAAUUAAUUUUUAUAAUAAGAUUUUAUAUAUUAGAGUAUAGAACUGCAUUUUAUUUCAUAUAUUUGUGACAUUUUUUUGUUUGAGAAAUUCCUUGAUAAUACAUAUAAUACAGCUAAUGAUACAUAUGUAAGAAUUACAGAAAAUAAUGAAAGUAAUUCUCUUUAAAACGUUAUUUUGUUUUAAGCCUGGUAAUUCAGGUAGCUGGGAUCAAUAACCUCAACUACUUAGGAGGAUGGGACAAGAGAAUCACACGUUUAAGACAAACUUAGAAAGUUUAGUGAGAACCUGUUUUAAAUAAAAGGCAAAGGAAGUUUGGGAAUUCCUUGCCUAGCACUUGAAACAUGUUAUGCUUAAUUUCCAAUAUUGGAAAAGUAAACCAUGAAAACAUCUUUAUGACAGAGUAGUACCUGUAGAUAUUUUGCUCAUCAUUAUUUUUUUAUCAAAUUUUACUUUAUUUUUUAUUAUUUAAAAGUCCCAUUUGCAUAUAUAAUAAAAUUAGCCAUGUUAACUUCCUAGUCUUGACUUGCAAUCUCUUCAUUAUUUGCUAAAAUUCUCUCUUUUUUUAAAAAAAAUCUUUAUCUAUUUAUUUAUUUACUUUACUUACUUACUUACUCACAUACUUUUUUACACCCCAGAUUGUAUUUCCCUCUCCCUGCCCUACACUCCUACUGUUCCACAUCCCAUACCUCCUCCCUAGCCCCCUGUCUCCACGUGGAUGUCCUCACCAACCACCACACAUACAACUAGACCUCUAAACUUCCUGUAGCCUCCAGUCUUUUGAGAGUUAAGUGCAUCUUUUCUGACUGAACCCAGACCUAGCAGUCCUCUGCUGUAUAUGUAUUGGGACCUCAUAUCAGUUAGUGUAUGCUGCCUGGUUGGUGGUUCAGUGUUUGAGAGAUCUCUGGGGUCCAUGUGAACUGAGACUGCUGGUCCUCCUACAGGGUCACCCUCCUCAGCUUUUUCCAGCCUUUCUCUAAAUCAAGCAUAGGGGUCGGUCAGCAGCUUCUGGUUAUUGGUUGGGUGCAAAUAUCUGCAUCUGACUCUUUCAGCUGCUUGUUGGGUCUUUCGGAGGGCAUACAUGAUAGGUCUCUUUUUGUGAGCACUCCAUAGCUUCAGUAAUAGUGUCAGGCCUUGGGACCUUCCCUUGAGCUGGAUUCUACUUUGGGCCUGUCCCUGGACCUUCUUUUCCUCAGGCUCCUCUCUAUUUCCAUCCCUGCAGUUAUUUCAGUCAGGAACAUUAUAGGUCAGAGUUUUGACUGUGAGAUAGCAACCUCCUUCCUCACUUGGUGCCUUGUCUUCCUGCUGGAGGUAGACUCUAUAAAUUCCCUUUCUCUACUAUAGGGCAUUUCAUCUAGGGUCCCUGCCUUUGAUUCCUGAGAGUCUCUCCCCUCCCAGGACUCUGGUACAUUCUGGAAGGCCCCCCUUCUACCUCCUGUGGUUGUCUGUUUCCAUUCUUUCUACCCAUUUGCUUAAAAAACUGAGGAUGUCCUCAUUAUUAAUAGCUGAGUAGUAUUCCAUUGUGUAAAUGAACCACAUUUUCCAUAUCCUUUCUAAUGGUAAUUAUGAUGGCUAAGUAGUAAAUUACCAAAGGCUCUUUAACCAAAAACAGCUACUUACUGGUUUUUAUUUUUGUAAAGUCAGAGAUAAAAGAUAUGCCUGGUGACACUUUGUCUACAGUAUCAUGAUGUGGUGUCUGACGUGUGUCUGUUUGUCUGUUUCCUUGAAUAUUCCAGCAGGAGGUCUAUAUUAUCCAAAAAGUAUAUUAACUUUUUAUAAAACAAAAAGAUUUGUAAAAUGCUUACAUUGUAUUUGUAUUGUUCUGGCCAAGUUUAUAAACUAAAUUUUGUAACAACAAUUCUGUGCAGCAAAAAAAUGGUAUGUAUGAAAUAUUUAACUGAAGCAAGAACCUAUAAUUCAGGGUCAGUUACAAUAAAGCCAGAUAUACUUUACAGGUAGAAAGUUGGUUUUCAAAUACAAAUCAAUGUGUUUAUUCAUGAGAAUAUGUGCAGCAAUUACCCCAGUCAUUUCAAUAAGCUCUCUCUAGAAAUUUGUAAUAAUUCAUUUGAUUAGAACAUGGCAAUUUUAGCUCACAGACUCUUAAAUGUAUAAGUUGUCUCUCUAUAUAUUAUCAAUGCUUAUAUUUGGGCUUUGUGGAAUAAAGUCACUAAAAUUAUUAUUAGUUUUCUACAAUUUUUAAUAGAUUAUUUGUGUGUAUUUUUCUUCAAGGAAAUUAUAGAGCCAAAAAUAGUAAAUAGGAAAUAAUAUGUUAGAACCAUUGAAAAUGGCAGGCCAGGUAAUGGAGUAGUGACCACAGCCAUUUAUUAGGUGUAUGGUUAUUGACUAGAAUUCACAAGAGCCUUACACACACACAGGUAGACACAGCACACAAACACAAACAAACACACACAUACACACAAACACAAACUCACAGAAAAAUCAGUGGACAUCAUUAUUUACAUAUUUCU